rnacentral:lncRNA from 1 species
UCAGCCCAAGACUACCCCGUCGGUCAUUCUGUUCCUGCCGUCCUGUGAGGAGCCCCAAGCCAACAAGGCCACACUGGUGUGUCUCAUGAAUAACUUUAUCCGGGAAUCUUGAUGGUGACCUGGAAGGCAGAUGGUACCCUCAUCACCCAGAGCGUGGAGAAGACCACGCCCUCCAAACAGAGCAACAACAAAUGGAGUCUCACUCUGUCGCCCAGGCUGGAGUGCAAUGGCUCGAUCUUGGCUCACCGUAACCUCUGUCUCCCAGGUUCAACCAAUUCUCCUGCCUCAGCCUCCUGAGUAGCCGGGAUUACAGGCAGCAACUGGAAACAACCCAAGUGUCCGUCAGCUAGAGAAUGGAUAGACCCAUGUGGUCUGUGCAUACAGUGGAGUACUGCUCAGUUACACAAGGAAAAGAAACUAUGGAUACAGGUCACAGGAGGGAUGAUCUUCAAAACAUUACAACAGUUGCACCUUUGUCACCCAGGCUGGAGUGCAAUGGUGUGAUCUUGGCUCACUGUGCAACCUCCGCCUCCUGGAUUCAAGCGAUUCUCCUGCCUCAGCCUCCUGAGUAGCUAGGAUUGCAGGGGGAAGGACGCACCCUGUUAUGAAUCUGAUACUGAUAUUUAUGAGACUGUGGCUGCUGCAACAUCAGAAUCCACUACUGUAGAGCCUGG